CAACUAAAUCCAUGAUACAAAAAAUUUUUUUUUGAUUUUGGUUGUAGGAUGACCAAUUACUUUUUAAUUGGCCUUUGGGAUAGAAGUUGUUUAAAAGUCUUUGAAAAUCUAAAGGAAUUCCAUUCACUGGUCCCCUUUCACACACAUAUUUAUCCCCCUCACAUAAACCUGAUUUCCUUCUGUUGCUCUACCCAGAAAUAGUGUGUGCUUUUAAGUGUUUAAUGGUUGUGCCCUUAUCAUAACCUCUUCUCAGAAAUGAGACCAAAUUAGGAAUCCAGGAUUUGGUAGAGUGGUCCUUUAUAGGCACUGCUCCUCACCCACCCUCCUAAGACAGGUCCUGGAAUCUGGUGUGUGCGCGUGGCUUUUAGUCCUGCGCGUAAAUGUCUUGGUGAGGGUUUGGCUCCAUAACUAAUGCAAUUCAGUGACUGGUGAGCCAGAGUUGCUGUAAAUAUGACUCAAGAGCUGCCUGUUGUUUAAUGGUAAUCGUCUGACUGUAAUCAGGUGUGCAGAGGGGCCAAAGGUUACAAGUAAAUGAGCUAAAGAGAAAUGGUUGCCAAACUCAGUUCUGAUUCAAACGCACUGAACAUUCUCUAUACUUCGUUUUCGACCCACUUCUUCCCACCCACUUUAAAUUACAGUUUUGGAGUAGAACUUUCUCUAGCCUCCUCCUCCGAAGAGAUUCAGGCAAAGCAUCCAUUCAACCUGCAGAGUUCCCAGGAACAGCAGAGAGCGAGGCCUCGGUCACCGGGAAGACAGACGCAGGGUGUGCGGGUGAGUGGGUGUGUUGUUUACUCUCUCUGGGUGGCUGGUGAACGGGGCAUGUGUGGAGGAAAGGAGCUGGGUUGGUGUGACCUGUAAACGUUUUCUGAGCUGGUGAGGGAGUGACUGCUGAUCCCUGCUGCUUAGUGAGUGAGUCAUGGGCCUGAGGGCAGAGCCUGCUACAGGGCGGGGCCCAGUCUGGCCAACAAAGUCCUCCAGGAGCACCAAUGAACAGAUAAAUAUUUUCCUGGCAGUUAUCUGAGCAUUUCAGAGAAGCAAUUACCUCUGAACAAUGCAGGUGGAAAUUCAGGGGAGUGGGAGUCAGGUCAGAUUAUGGCACUGCGUGAGAUGGACCACAGACCUAGAGGUUCCUGGAUGCCAGGGAGUUCGGACUCUUUGGGAAAGGGUGGCUGAGGGUGAGGGACCGUGGGUACCCUGGUAGAGUCCACAAGUCCAGCAAGAGAGACUUCCACCCGAGAAGCUGUCUCAGGGAGAAAAGGGAAAUGAAGAAGGCAAAGAAAGGUUUGAACCUUCAAUGGGAUUCAUGCAGCCAGUUCUAGUGUUUUCUUAUUGAGAUCAGCUUGUGGGGAUGAGAAAUUCAUCCCCUGUUGGAGGCAACAGUGGAAUCUGGAGAAGGGAGAUGCUUUGCCUAAAGUCACACAGCCAGUUAGUUAUAAACUACAGGAAAUAGCAGCCUGGUGUUCACACCUAGGGCUUAAGGGGAUAAUCUGCUGAGUUUGUAGAAAGUGACUUGCUAUAAAUUGUAAAGAUUGAGUCAACACCAUGUGGAUAGGCAGAUUGUUUUUUGAGAGCAUGGGAGGAGCAGGUGGCAAGACUUGUGGAAUUGUUAAUUAGCAGGUUUUGGUGAUAGAAUUGAACUGGGUCAGGCAACUGACUGGAAUUAAAGAUAAGGUGUGGUUUGGCCUCAAAUAACUUGGAAGUGCAUGCAUAUGUGUGUGCAUACAUGCAUGAAUGUGUGUGCACAUGUGUGAGUGUGUGUGAAGAGGUGGCUGUUUAGCUUUUAGGGUGGUGAGGUCUAGAGCAUCUCUACAAGUAGAUGGAAUUUAUGCAGAGACUGGGCUUCUUCCUUGAAAUACAGCAAUAUAGGCAUUAAAUAAAAGUGGAGAAAAGGGGAAAGAGGAAUUUUCCAUUUGAAAAUCAAGGAAUAUGGGUGUGUAUUAUUAUUAUUUUUUUUAAACUUUGGCAGUAGUCCUUUAAAUUGGUUUGGGGACAAUUUUUAGUGCACUGGGUAUGAAAAUGUACUUGAUUUCACCAAUUUAAAUAAUUAUUAUAGGAAGUAACAGAAAAGCCUAACCAAAAUGAAUAGGUAAGAAGGUUUAAUGAAGUGGGAAAAAUGGAAUGCUUAGAAAGAGUAAAGGUUUAUUGUUGUUGAUAGCUCAGAAGGGACCCCAUAUUCCCAGCAGGCUCCUGGGAUAUGAUGGGGUGAGGGUGCCAGUCUAGGGAGGACACAUGGCAUAGAAUUUGGUGGAAGGGACCACAUGAGCAGCAGCAGGGUGAAGGUGAACUGGAAAGGACCCAAGAAUCUUCAGGGGUGGAAACUCCAUUCUCAGAUAAUGAAAACCUAUGGCAGAGGGAAUGUACCUGGACAAGUAGGCCAGAGUGAUGAGACCAAGAAGCAGAUAAAGUAGGAAAGCUACAAACGCAGACUCAAAUGCCAUAAUGCUGAGGCAAAAACCAACACUUCUAGACUUCCAUUGCUUGAGUGAUGCCUCAGACUCCAUUAUUCUCAGUCCCAGCAGACAUGCUGUCCACCUUUGGUCUUUGGUCCUUGGUCACACUUGGUUCUCCGGGCUGACCCUGCACAGCUCUGCCCUCCUGCGGUCUAACUGGGCACUUGUGUGGCCAUAUUCCUGGACAAGACUGUUGGUUUCCUCAAUGCCAGAAAGACCUUUCAUUUAUCUGUGUUCACCCAGAACUGUAGGUCCUGUAGGUCCCACUGAAUGCUGAAACAUGUAGAGGCCUUUAUUUCUGAGGACUUGGCGUUGAAACUCAAAUGAGAGUGUGUUUUUGAAAGAACAGUGUGAACCAAACCGCAAAUAUAAAAACCAUAAAUCUCUCUCUGAACCAAAAUAACACCACUUCAGGGUGAAUGAAAAUGAUGUACUUCCCGGAAAUCAGACUUAUUCUUAAUUCAUAAAGACUGUUUAGGACUUGGAAUCAAUAGAAGCCAGAUUGUAUUUUGCUUCCUGUUUUUCUGUGCUCCGUUUAUGCAAAUGAUGUUAAAAUACGUGUGUAAAAAUAACUUCUAAUGGGCUGUCUCAGCAAUAAGCAGCUAACAGGCACAGAAAAUAUCCUAGGAAUCCAAUAGAUUUUAGAGCAUUUUUUAGACACAUGGGGAGCCUGGAGGGUUAGAAUGGCAGGAAGGUGGGGAGGCUUCUAUGAACUGGUUCACACCAUGAUCCCAGGGCUGCUCAGGAGCCUGAACUGCAAAAAGUUGAGCCCAGAAUCAGAGGCCUGCUCCUGGACAACCUCUGUUUGGAUCCAGACGUUAGCAUGGAUGUAGAGUCCUGAGCAAAGUGCUACAACCAGCAUUGCCGGAUUUAGCGUACAUAAAAAUAUAGGACACUCCACUAUUGUAGGAAGCAUGCUUAUACUAAAAAAGGAUUUGUUUAUCUGCAGCUCAAAUGUAACUGGAAAUCAUACACUUUAUCUGGCAAGCUACAAUUCAAAUGAUUAAUAUCUCUGAAUCUGACGUUAGUGGCUCUAGGGCUUUUGGAAGAAUUAGCAUGGGCUUUCUUACUGCAAACUAGCGAUUUUCAACCUGUCUGCUGCAAGAAUUUUUAAAACAUGCAAUAUCUGACUAGUCUGGGGCACUGACCUCUUUUCCCUUAGAUUGCCAAAUAAA